GACUUUUUAGACUCAGUCGAUUAGAGCAUGGUGUUAAUAAUGCCAAGGUCACAGGUUUGAUCCCUGUACAGGCCA
rfam:Corvus brachyrhynchos isolate BGI_N302 unplaced genomic scaffold scaffold5, whole genome shotgun sequence.